AUGGCCAUAUCUUGCUGAAACACUGUUUCUCAUAUGAUCAAUGAAGUUAAGCAACAUUGAGCCUGGUAAGUACCUAGAUGAAUGACUGCUUGGGAAUACCAGGUGCUGUAA